rnacentral:rRNA from 1 species
CACGUAGGGGGCAAGCGUUGUCCGGAUUCAUUGGGCGUAAAGAGCUCGUAGGCGGUUCGAUAAGUCGGGUGUGAAACCUCCAGGCUCAACCUGGAGACGCCACCCGAUACUGUCGUGACUAGAGUCCAGUAGGGGAGCGUGGAAUUCCUGGUGUAGCGGUGGAAUGCGCAGAUAUCAGGAGGAACACCUAAGGCGAAGGCAGCUCGCUGGAACGGUACUGACGCUGAGGCGCGAAAGCGUGGGGAGCAAACAGG